AAGUCUCCAGAAAUAGGACAGCAGCCAUUCCAGGUAGCAGGGGAAUGGCCCUUCCUCACUUUCUGACGAUUUUUUUUUACGCUCUUCUGUCUUUGGGGAAAGCGGCAGGCUAAGGAAAACCGGGAAGCCACGCAGACCUCUGCCUGUGACACAGCACGUGGGCUGGCCUCUGGCAACUGACAGAGGGAACAUUGCUGCUGAUGCGAAGAAAAGUCAUCAGAGAUUCUAAAAAAUAACGACUAUGGCGGAUAAGCAAGGAGGGACAGGAGGUGACCAAGGCCACAGUGGGGAGAGACCUAGCAGAGAGAGCACCCACCUCAAUCAGGCCACAGCCGGGACGGAGGUUCUGAGCCACGUCUCCUGAGUUCAUUUACUCGGUGGAAGUCAAUCUUAAUUGUCAAUUCGAUGAGAUUUUUAAUCGCCAUGGAAACAGACCUCUGAGCAUGUCACGGAGACAGUUUCUAUAUCAGGUUAAUCGAGGUACAUCUGAGGUACAACAGUCUACCUCAUAGUGGCCUCUGACAGUCCAAAGCACGAGCGGUCAUUGCCAGGGCAGCUCCAUUGUCUGCCAGAGCCCUCUCUGCUCUGCUUAUAGCUGUCUCAUGCCAGCCGAGUCGCUUCAGCAUGCAGGUGCCUGCCUCUGCUCACCCCCUGUCAGUUCCCAGAUCAGAGACACCAGGAUGCCCCCCGUAAAAAAUUUUCUUCUUUAAGUUGCCUUGGUCAUUGUGUCUAAGUAGCUAAGACACCUUGCUCGGUUUUAAACUCACUCAUUCAAAACCAAAACCAUAGCUUUCAUAAACCAUUCUCUGGACUGUACAGAACAACUCCUUAAGGCAAACACAUAUCUGUGGAUUCUAUAUAUGGCCAAGCAGUUGGACAUCUAUAAUGGCAAGAUGACUGACUCAAGCCUACUUCACAGCCGCUGGCCCGACUGCUCAUCCUCGCAGACCACAGAAGCCUGAAGCCCCAGGGAACUAACUACACAUUUUGUGGGGUGAAGUGGUUCUUUCCCAUUCCUGAUGCAAAGCCUGAUCACACCCCAUAGCGCUCCUGAGAAACCCUGCCGCCUGGGCCACAGUGGGGACUUGCAAGCCUCUACACAGAUCUUAUUUGCUGGGCUCAAAGUCUCCAGAAGUACACGCCACCUCUCUAACCUUCUAUAAAACUAUCCUCAUCUUGUGGUCCUGGCGACGUUUUCAACCUUUCUAAAGAAGGCUCCAUCUCCCUUUGCGUUACCAGGCCCAUUAUAGUUCCAGAACGAAAUAAACAGGAAGUGGAUGCAGUCCGAUGGAAGAUCAAUGUG
rnacentral:lncRNA from 1 species